GGGGGUGAUCGGUUUCGACAUUGAUCGGCAGAUCAAGGGAAGCGGGUCGAGGAUGCACAGUUAUCUCGUUAACGAUCUGUGCAAACCAAUAGGUGCCGACAACAAGCGCACCGACUUCGCCCUCGCCGCCUGAGCGAGCUUCGAAGUCCGUCAGCCUGAGCUAGAUCUCGACUCAGUGCCUGGCGCCAUCUAGAGAACUGGCUGCGUCGCUCCUGUCGGGGGGUGGCGUGGGACUCAAUCCGACUGGGCCUGUCAGGGAACGUGUGCGCGCGAGCCCUGGGGCCGAGAAAAAUCCACAGCGCACUGCACCCGGAGAAGUCUUGGUUUCCCGUCAGUGGACGCGGGUUCGAUUCCCGCCACCUCCACCA
rnacentral:tmRNA from 1 species